CGAGGGAUAUAAGAUGAUGAUUUUUUACCAUAAUUUGAUUAUCAAACUUGUGCAGCAACAUUGUUUCCUGUAUUUGUAAAAGUGAGGCAUUGCAGCCCUUGAUAUUUAUGCUCUGAAGUCCCUGCUUUGAAGGUAAUAUGUUUCCUGUUUUAUCAAAGAAAACUUGUAAGUAUAAAACGUGGUGGUUGGUUUGCAUUUUUAGCUUUCGCGAUGAUUACUCUUGCGCUGG
rnacentral:lncRNA from 1 species